rnacentral:rRNA from 1 species
AUUGAACGCUGGCGGCAGGCCUAACACAUGCAAGUCGAGCGGCAGCGGGCCUUCGGGUGCCGGCGAGUGGCGAACGGGUGAGUAAUAUAUCGGAACGUACCUUUCAGUGGGGGAUAACGUAGCGAAAGUUACGCUAAUACCGCAUAUUCUGUGAGCAGGAAAGCAGGGGAUCGCAAGACCUUGCGCUGAUUGAGCGGCCGAUAUCAGAUUAGCUAGUUGGUGAGGUAAAGGCUCACCAAGGCGACGAUCUGUAGCGGGUCUGAGAGGAUGAUCCGCCACACUGGAACUGAGACACGGUCCAGACUCCUACGGGAGGCAGCAGUGGGGAAUUUUGGACAAUGGGCGCAAGCCUGAUCCAGCCAUGCCGCGUGAGUGAAGAAGGCC